UAAAGGUUUUUAAUUAUUCAAUUACUUUUUUUGUUUCUUUUUUUUAUUAGUUUGCCAUUGGAUCUCUCAUGGAUGACUACCUGGGUCUUGUGAGCUGAUUCUUCUGCCAAGAAUAUAAGACAUAUGAAACUUGAUGCUGUGGUGAUGCUAAAUAGUUUGUAUAUACUGUAAUUAUUUUCCCAUUCAUUUGAAGUUGUCUUUUUCCCCCCUCUUUUUAUUGUUAUUUUUAUCCCCAUGUUAGUAGUAUAUCCAUAGUUUUCCCAUGGCAACAGUUCAAUUGUGGAACAGCAUCAAGUUAAAUGGGAAGAGCAUGUAGCUCUACGUGAUGGAAAGACUUUGAAUUGUUUAAUUAAAAUAUCAUCAGUUGGACUCCUGUGGAUCCUGUGAGCAAAAGCAAUUCACAAGCAUGUUAUGGAAAGUCAAAGGUAUCAUUCAUCACAUUGCUUUUAGAGUUAUUCAUCUCUAAGCUAAUUUUUAAACAUCUUUUU